rnacentral:rRNA from 1 species
ACGGGAGGCAGCAGUGGGGAAUUUUGGACAAUGGGGGCAACCCUGAUCCAGCGACGCCGCGUGGAGGAUGAAGGUUUUAGGAUUGUAAACUCCUUUUGGAUGGGAAGAACAAAAUGACGGUACCAUCAGAAAGAGCCACGGCUAACUUCGUGCCAGCAGCCGCGGUAAUACGAAGGUGGCGAGCGUUACUCGGAAUUACUAGGCGUAAAGCGUAUGUAGGUGGUUAUAUAAGUCUGUGGUGAAAUUUCCUGGCUCAACUGGGAAGGGAACACAGAUACUGUAUAGCUUGAGUAUGUGAGGGGGAAACGGAAUUCCUGGUGUAGCGGUGAAAUGCGUAGAUAUCAGGAGGAACACCGAUGGCGAAAGCAGUUUCCUGGCACAAAACUGACACUGGGGUACGAAAGCUAGGGUAGCAAACAGGAUUAGAUACCCUGGUA